UUGACCUCAAAUCGGGUGAGACUACCC
rnacentral:rRNA from 5 species